ensembl:lncRNA
AUUCUGAGCAGUGAUUUUCCUUGGAAAUGCAUAAUGUUGACAUGAACUAUAAUUAACCCUUAAAUGAGCUAUGCAGGCGGGUAAUGUGCUUAAUGGUCAAAAUAUUAAAGAAAAGAUUCUGACAGCAGAACUCUCUACUAAUGACAUCCUCUUCAAAGAGAGAAGAGAGAGUUAAUAUAGAGCAGGAGGUUGGGAAGGAGACAGGCGCUGCAUCUCAAGUCUAAUCUCCUCCUCGUUUGUGUGGGUGAAGAAGGUUCUAGUCCCUGAGUGCCAGUGAUCACAUGUAGCCGCGCUGUUUAUACCACAGGCAUAGCCUACUCACGCACAAUAUACACACACUGCCCCAGCCUCCAGCACCAUCCACGGGCAUUGGAUAUAUCAGCCUGGGAGAACACACAGACAUACCCACAGACAGAGGGAGUGUUUUCUUUUACAGUGGAUUCCCAGCUCUCAGACAGAAGCAGAGCUGGAAUGUAGAAUGGUCAAAAACUCCAGGCUGUUAACUUCAUUCCUGGGAGCUCAAGUAAACCAAUGAGUGGAUCGAUUUAAUGGAUUGAAUAAAUUGAUAACUGAAAUCAAUCGACUCCUCAGUGCAACAAAUUAUUGGGGGUACGACCGAUUGAUGGGCGAGUCCACCGUGGCUGACAGUCUGCAUUGAACAGUCCACUGGUAAAAUACUCAGCUGUCGCGCAGAGGAGCAGCGAAGAACAGUCAGUGAAGUCCAGAGACAGUCACUCGGACAAGAGAGCCAGGUGUGAGAGGUUGUUGCCAUGGGGAAGGACUACUAUAAAACCCUGGGCAUCCCUAACCCAGUAACCUUCCUCACACUCUUCUUCUACCUCCAG